rnacentral:rRNA from 1 species
GACGAACGCUGGCGGCGUGCCUAACACAUGCAAGUCGAGCGAUGAAAUCCCUUCGGGGAUGGAUUAGCGGCGGACGGGUGAGUAACACGUGGGCAGCCUACCUCAAAGUGGGGGAUAGCCUCCCGAAAGGGAGAUUAAUACCGCAUAACAUUAGUUUUUCACAUGAAGGACUAAUUAAAGGAGUAAUCCGUUUUGAGAUGGGCCCGCGGCGCAUUAGCUAGUUGGUGAGGUAAUGGCUCACCAAGGCGACGAUGCGUAGCCGACCUGAGAGGGUGAUCGGCCACAUUGGAACUGAGACACGGUCCAGACUCCUACGGGAGGCAGCAGUGGGGAAUAUUGCACAAUGGGGGAAACCCUGAUGCAGCAACGCCGCGUGAGUGAUGAAGGUCUUCGGAUUGUAAAGCUCUGUCUUUUGGGACGAUAAUGACGGUACCAUAUGUAAGCCCCGGCUAACUCCGUGCCAGCCGCCGCGGUAACAC